UCGACUGUUAAGUGCGCGAGCGUUUUUUCGUCGUUUUCGGUGGUUUUGGACGAUGUUUCGUCCGAUAUGUUCAGGUAAGUCGUAUAAGUUUUUGGACUAGUCCAACGAAGAGCUUCUUCGUUAAGUUUUUAUUUACUUUUCAGCUCACAGUGAGCCUGAAAAGUGGUGGUGUUUUGCUGCUAGGUUCUGAAUCUUCCCGAGGAAGAUCAGCCUGCACAAACCCACAAAUUAUCCCGGGAUGAACCAUGGUUGGCCAUCUUGACACAGCAAGAUGAGCACCAGGUAAGUGUACACAUUAAAAUUUGCAAUUUAAAAAUCAAUUAAUGAUUGACGAUCGUAAAAUUUUAGGCUUGGCACUUCUGGCCGGUAUUUUGGUUGGCAGAGUCCCCUCACUGCCGCUCCACAGUCGAUGCUCGGACGCAAGGGCACUACGGAUAACCCCUUGGUCGUCUCAUCGGACUGCCAGCGCAGCUAUGGACCUCCAACAUAAGCAUAAAGGUGUUUAGUAACGACUAACCUCCUCCGCAGAUGCUCAUCGGGUCUUCGGGUCGAACCGACAGCGAGUUCCGAGGGAAACCAAUGUUUAACCCCUCACCAACUGCUGCGGUUAACCGACCCUCGGUCGACUUACAUCGUUAGAGUUAGUCAGUGUUACUAAACUCUUUAUUGAUUAUGAAUAAAGAUUCAUUUUAUUUUCA